CCUACGGGUGGCAGCAGUGAGGAAUAUUGGUCAAUGGACGAGAGUCUGAACCAGCCAAGUAGCGUGAAGGAUGAAUGCCCUAUGGGUCGUAAACUUCUUUUAUAAAGGAAUAAAACGAGGGACGCGUGCCUUUUUGCAUGUACUUUAUGAAUAAGGAUCGGCUAACUCCGUGCCAGCAGCCGCGGUAAUACGGAGGAUCCGAGCGUUAUCCGGAUUUAUUGGGUUUAAAGUGAGCGUAGAUGGGUUGUUAAGUCAGUUGGGCAAGUUUGUGGCUCAACCGUAAAAUUGCAAUGGAUACUGGCAGGCUUGAGUACAGUUGAGGUAGGCGGAAUUCGGGGUGUAGCGGUGGAAUGCUUAGAUAUCACGAAGAACCCCGAGUGCGAAGGCAGCUUAGUAAACUGUGAAUGACAUUGAUGCUCGAAAGUGUGGGUAUCAAAAAGGAUUAGAUACCCCUGUAGUUC
rnacentral:rRNA from 1 species